GUAUGUAAACGAUUUGAACCCCAACCGGAUCUUGUGAGAAGAUUUUAGUGUCAGCCAUAUUCUGCCGCUUCACUUGUUUACGAUAUUGGUAUUUAUAUUGAUACUGAUGGACGUAAGAUCACCAUGAAAGAAUACAACUGCAUAUACUGUUCGGUCAAGACUACGAUAUGUACGAAUUUCAAUGCCGUCAUUGACCACAUAAUUAUUCGCCAUCCAGACUGCAACUUGAAAAUAAGAAUAAAUAAUGAUCAAAAUAAAAUUUCCUACUUAAAAAAUUUCAGUGUCAAAGCCAAUAACGUAAAAGAAAAAAAGAAAUUUAUAACACCAAUAGCUGAAACACUAACAAUUAAAAUUUCAAAAAUUCCCGAAUAUUCUCCGAUUAAAAAGAUGCCAAAAUUGUGGACGCCUAUGAAAGAAAAAAAGACGUUUAUAACUCCAAUAGCUGAAACACUGACAAUAUUAAAAUUUCAAAAUUUUUCGAAUAUUCUCCGUUUAAAAAGAUGCCAAAAUUGUCGACGCCAAUGAUAGAUAUACAAGAAUAAAAGUCGUACAUGUCAGAAAUAGAAAGUCAAUGAAUUUCUGAGAAUAUAGAACCUUGUUUUAAAUCAACGGUAGGUGUAAUAGCUUUCAACAUGUUGCAAAAAAUCUUGUAAUCUUGUAAUGAUAUUUCGAGGUUUAUUGAUACGUGAUGUUAUAUAACGGUCACGGCAAAACUAACAACAAUUCCGUUGAACUAAAUAUAAGAAAUUUAUAGUACAUACGUAAUAUUUUAGCUUUAUAUCUUUCCAAAGAAGUAUGAAAGGUAUGUGAAGUUAAUUAUUCCUAUCAAGAAAUAAUUGACUUUCUGGUUCGUAUAACCAGCCACUUCAUGCUGGUAUUUUCGUAGACAGUGAAAACAUGACGAAACUCCAUUCAUAUGCAGUUUUAGUUACUUACAUAGAACUAAAACAUGUACCAUGCUCUUGUGACACAAUAACUUCGUAUUCUGCACAAUAAAAUUUGGAUUAUAUGAUAAAAACACAAUAAAUAUCAUCAAAAGUGACUCGCAAGUAAUGGUUCAGUGAAAACACAAGUAGGGUACAGAUCAUUAAAAUUGUUUUAGCAAGACGGGUACAGUUAUCAGAAAUGUCGCCUCUAUUAUUUACUAUGUUUUAUCAAUAUUCAAAGCUAUUUUCACAAGUGUCUGUCCGGUAAUAUGAGGUUAAGACAAUAAAGUAAAGAUUCAGAUAUGAGUUAUAGUGAAGUAAAACAAUUUUUAGCAUAAAUUUGCUAGUGUAAUCGGCGUGUGUUGACAUAAACAAAACAUGAGGCGAAGAGCACAGCGUUUUAUGCGCAUAUAUUUUACGAAGAAGGUUAUGGAUGUAUAUAUAAGCAAAGAUAAAGUAUAUCUCAAUA